AACUUCUGAAUGUUGACCUCGAAUCAGGUAGGAAUACCCGCUGAACUUAAGCAUAUCAAUAAGCGGAGGAAAAGAAACCAACAGGGAUUGCCCCAGUAACGGCGAGUGAAGCGGCAACAGCUCAAAUUUGAAAUCUGGCUCUCGGGCCCGAGUUGUAAUUUGUAGAGGAUGCUUUUGGUGAGGUGCCUUCCGAGUUCCCUGGAACGGGACGCCAUAGAGGGUGAGAGCCCCGUCUGGUUGGACGCCGAUCCUCUGUAAAGCUCCUUCGACGAGUCGAGUAGUUUGGGAAUGCUGCUCUAAAUGGGAGGUAUAUGUCUUCUAAAGCUAAAUACCGGCCAGAGACCGAUAGCGCACAAGUAGAGUGAUCGAAAGAUGAAAAGAACUUUGAAAAGAGAGUUAAAAAGUACGUGAAAUUGUUGAAAGGGAAGCGCUUGUGACCAGACUUGGGCUUGGUUGAUCAUCCGGGGUUCUCCCCGGUGCACUCUUCCGGCUCAGGCCAGCAUCAGUUCGCCUCGGGGGAUAAAGGCUUCGGGAAUGUGGCUCUCUCCGGGGAGUGUUAUAGCCCGCUGCGUAAUACCCUGUGGCGGACUGAGGUUCGCGC
rnacentral:rRNA from 1 species